rnacentral:rRNA from 1 species
GAGGACCUACGGGGCGCAGCAGUGGGGAAUAUUGCGCAAUGGGGGAAACCCUGACGCAGCAACGCCGCGUGAGUGAAGAAGGCCUUCGGGUUGUAAAGCUCUUUAAUCAGGGGCGAAGAAUGACGGUACCCGAAGAAUAAGCUCCGGCUAACUACGUGCCAGCAGCCGCGGUAAUACGUAGGGAGCACGCGUUAUCCGGAUUUACUGGGUGUAAAGGGCGUGUAGGCGGGCUUGCAAGUCAGAAGUGAAAUCUGGGGGCUUAACCCCCAAACUGCUUUUGAAACUGUGGGUCUUGAGUGAUGGAG